CGCCCUCUUCGGAGGGAGUGGCAGACGGGUGAGUAACGCGUGGGAAUCUACCUAGUGGUGGAGGAUAACUUCGGGAAACCGGAGCUAAUACUCCAUAAGCCCUUCGGGGGAAAGUUUUUUCGCCAUUAGAUGAGCCCGCGUGAGAUUAGCUUGUUGGUGAGGUAAAGGCUCACCAAGGCGACGAUCUCUAGCUGUUCUGAGAGGAAGAUCAGCCACACUGGGACUGAGACACGGCCCAGACUCCUACGGGAGGCAGCAGUGGGGAAUAUUGCACAAUGGGGGCAACCCUGAUGCAGCCAUGCCGCGUGUGUGAAGAAGGCCUUCGGGUUGUAAAGCACUUUCAGUUGUGAGGAAAGGUUGGUGGUUAAUACCCAUCAGCUGUGACGUUAGCAACAGAAGAAGCACCGGCUAACUCCGUGCCAGCAGCCGCGGUAAUACGGAGGGUGCGAGCGUUAAUCGGAAUUACUGGGCGUAAAGCGCACGCAGGCGGUUAUAUAAGCUAGAUGUGAAAGCCCCGGGCUCAACCUGGGAAUAGCAUUUAGAACUGUAUGACUAGAGUCUUGGAGAGGGGGGUGGAAUUCCAGGUGUAGCGGUGAAAUGCGUAGAUAUCUGGAGGA
rnacentral:rRNA from 1 species